AUUUAAAUAGCUUAAAUUUUAGAGCGUAACAUUGAAGAUGUUAAAGUGAUUUUAUAAUCUUUAAAUA
rnacentral:tRNA from 1 species